AAACUGCUUGGCUGAUAGGMAAGUAUAUGUUUUGAAAACAUACAAUGACGGUUCGAAUCCAUCAGUAGUUUU
rnacentral:tRNA from 1 species